rnacentral:rRNA from 1 species
GACAGAGGGUGCAAACGUUGUUCGGAAUUACUGGGCGUAAAGGGCGCGUAGGCGGCCUGCUAAGUCGGACGUGAAUCCUCGGCUCACCGGGAACUGCGUCCGAUACUGGCGAGGCUUGAAUCUGGAGAGGGAUGUGGAAUUCCAGGUGUAGUCGGUGAAAUGACGUAGAUAUCUGGAGGAACACCAGUGGCGAAGGCGGCAUCCUGGACCGGUAUUGACGCUGAGGCGCGAAAGCUAGG